AGACUACUCCAUAAACUGAGCUAAGCAGCGUGGGGCUUGAGAGGCUGAGUCCGACUUUGAAAGAAGUUCUAAUGUGGGGAAAACGCAAUCAGCAUUGCAUGCUACAGAGAAAUCGUGCAUGACAGGAAGAGUUAAUCGAUUUGGUAGCCUUCGUCGUGGUCUUAUUUUAAGAAAUUGCCACAGCCAGCCCAGCCUUCAGCAGCCCCCACCCUGAUCCAUCAGCAGCAUCAAUGUGCAGGCAGGACCCUCCACCAGCAAAAAGACUGUGACUCACUAAAGCCUCAGAUGAUUGUUCAACCUCUUUAGCAAGAAAACACUUUUUAAAAUUAAGGGUUUUACAUGCGCACAUAUGGUCCUCCUAGUUAAUUUGAAAACUGACUCUGGCUGCAGCCGGGACAACGUGGGAUCCUCAACCUGUUGCGCAACUGCGAGAAGACUGGGGAGUAAUUCUAACUCCCGUGACUUCGUCGUGCCUCGAAGUAGAAGUCUAGACAUCUGGAUUUGGACAUCUGGAUUCAUCCCUUGCUGUAUCCUCUAGGUUCUUUAAGGACACCGUCAAAGAUGGUGACCGACGCAGACCCUUGUAAAACGUCACAAGACUGGCAUACUUGUAGGUGAUAAGGACGGAGAAAUAAAACAUAGGAUCUCAGCCCGGCCUUACAGGUGCUGCCCAAAGUCACAACAUCUGGAGCGCAGCCUGGAGCUGAGACGCGGGGGCUCUGCCGUGAGCCUGCUCGGCCCGGCCCCGAGGCUGGGCGCUCUCAUCCGGACCUGCUUUGGUGCAGGAGAGCAGGAUGGCAGCGGCCGGGAGGUUUCGCAUCCAGACUGAGCCAGGGUGAAGGCCUCCGAGCAGCGGCAGUUUCUCCUUCCAGGGGGACCUUCAGCCCCUCCGUCCGCUUUCGGCAGGUGGUGUGUGCAUGGGGAGCACACGUCCCGAGGGCUUGGCUCCGGCUCUGCCAUUGACCGUCCCGUGACCCUGGGCUCUAACUUCUUGCUGAGCCUCCGUUUUCUCUCGGGCAAAAUGCAGGUGCUAAUCAUCCCCACUUCAUGGAUUGCUGGGAUCACAUCUCUGUUGUGGAAAACUUUAGGGUAAACUAAAGUGAGCUAGAGGCAGAACAUCGGGUCUGGGCCGUGUGUCUGCCGAUUGGCUAGUUUAACCUUGAGAAAAACCUCUGCCACUGCCUGCCCGUCUGUUUCCGGUCUCCAAGCCCAGAUCUUUCUCUUCGCAGGCCCCAGACACGCCCCUGGUACAUGGAGAUAUCUCAUACUGGCAAUAAUAUAACAUUUCUUUUAUUUGAUGAUGUUAUUGAAUAAUUUUUUAUUUUUAAUCUAAGCAAACACUUAAGUUUAAAAAAACUAGUAACUAUGAAUCUUAACAUAGAAAUGUUAGCCCCUGCCUGUCUUCCACCCAGUGCCGAUCCACCACUUCCACUGCUUUUAACUGGUUUAUCUGGAAAUAGCUCUACAUGUCUAAACAGCAUCCUUACUCUACAAGUCUUGAUGAUUUUUAAGUUUUAAUUGUUACCUGUUGACUUCCUAGCAUGGGAAGAAAGGAUUUAACCCUCCCCUCCCGUCACGGACACAGACACACCCCUCCGCACCCCCCACCCUCCUCUUCCAUCCGUUCUGUAUGCGGAUCGUACGUUUUGGUGGGAUAUUCGGAUGUCACACUGGGUUCACAGUUAAGUCAGAUAACAUGUGUGAUGACACGCAGCUGCACGUCUUUGCGUACACAAAUUGUUUCCCUGAAGGUAAUAAUUGCAUUGCUUUCCUGUUUGCUGAGUGUUCUCCUGGUAUCACUCGUUCGGCCCAGAAUCUUUAUAAAAGUGUCGCAUGUCCUUUCACUGCACCCGCACACGUGUGCCAUCUCUCAGCCCCUGGAGCCCAUGUCUCUGGGGGUCCCACCUCCUUGGUUCCGCGCUGGGCUGGCCGCUCUCGAGACCCACCGCGUCACCGCAUCCCCGGGCUCCCGGGCCUGGGCUCCGUUCCCGUCCUCCUGGGGAACGCGGCCCCCCCCUCGCUCUGCUGUGGCUUCUCUGCCUCCUGGAUCCCGUGGCUUCUUCCUGCUUGUUUUCCUCCUUCGCUUUGUAGAAGCACGUUGUCCAGUAAUGUCUCCAAAAGAGGAAGGAUGGCUUUUGUUUCUGGAGGGUGCACACCUGAAACGGUCUUUAUUCCACGCUUCCAUGUGGUUGAUUAUUUGAUUGGACACAGAAUUACCAAUACAGCUCAGAAACAUUUUUUCUCCCGAUUUUAAACCAUUAUGCCAUUGCUGUUAUUGUCAGGUGUGCUUCGGAUUUUCAGUACUUUCUAGGCGAACUGUUUUUUGUUUUAUUUUUUUUUUAUCACUGUUAACUUUAAACGUGUUCUCUCUAACUCUAGUGUCUUGAAACUUCACAGACAGAUAUUUUGAUGUAGGUCUUUUUCCUUUACUGUUCUACAUUGCCAGGGGACCCUUUCAAACUGGAAACUUAUCUUUCUCUUUUUACAUAGUUAAAAUAAUUCUGUUCAAAUAAUAUUUUCUAAUA
rnacentral:lncRNA from 1 species